rnacentral:rRNA from 1 species
AUGAACGCUAGCUACAGGCUUAACACAUGCAAGUCGAGGGGCAGCAUGAACUUAGCUUGCUAAGUUUGAUGGCGACCGGCGCACGGGUGAGUAACACGUAUCCAACCUGCCGAUGACUCGGGGAUAGCCUUUCGAAAGAAAGAUUAAUACCCGAUGGCAUAGUUCUUCCGCAUGGUGGAACUAUUAAAGGAUUUCGGUCAUCGAUGGGGAUGCGUUCCAUUAGGUUGUUGGCGGGGUAACGGCCCACCAAGCCUUCGAUGGAUAGGGGUUCUGAGAGGAAGGUCCCCCACAUUGGAACUGAGACACGGUCCAAACUCCUACGGGAGGCAGCAGUGAGGAAUAUUGGUCAAUGGACGAGAGUCUGAACCAGCCAAGUAGCGUGAAGGAUGACUGCCCUAUGGGUUGUAAACUUCUUUUAUACGGGAAUAAAGUGAGGCACGUGUGCCUUUUUGUAUGUACCGUAUGAAUAAGGAUCGGCUAACUCCGUGCCAGCAGCCGCGGUAAUACGGAGGAUCCGAGCGUUAUCCGGAUUUAUUGGGUUUAAAGGGAGCGUAGGCGGACGCUUAAGUCAGUUGUGAAAGUUUGCGGCUCAACCGUAAAAUUGCAGUUGAUACUGGGUGUCUUGAGUACAGUAGAGGCAGGCGGAAUUCGUGGUGUAGCGGUGAAAUGCUUAGAUAUCACGAAGAACUCCGAUUGCGAAGGCAGCCUGCUGGACUGUAACUGACGCUGAUGCUCGAAAGUGUGGGUAUCAAACAGGAUUAGAUACCCUGGUAGUCCACACAGUAAACGAUGAAUACUCGCUGUUUGCGAUAUACAGUAAGCGGCCAAGCGAAAGCGUUAAGUAUUCCACCUGGGGAGUACGCCGGCAACGGUGAAACUCAAAGGAAUUGACGGGGGCCCGCACAAGCAGUGGAGUAUGUGGUUUAAUUCGACGCAACGCGAAGAACCUUACCAAGGCUUGACAUAUACAGGAAUAUAUAAGAAAUUAUAUAGCUUUUCGGAGUCUGUAUACAGGUGGUGCAUGGUUGUCGUCAGCUCGUGUCGUGAGAUGUUGGGUUAAGUCCCGCAACGAGCGCAACCCCUGUUUUCAGUUACCAGCACGUAAAGGUGGGGACUCUGGAAAGACUGCCGGUGAUAAAUCGGAGGAAGGUGGGGACGACGUCAAAUCAUCAUGCCCUUUAUGUCCUGGGCUACACACGUACUACAAUGGCUAUAACAAAGAGAAGCGAAGCAGUGAUGUGGAGCAAAACUCAAAAAAGUAGUCUCAGUUCGGAUUGUAGGCUGAAAUUCGCCUACAUGAAGCCGGAAUUGCUAGUAAUGGCAGGUCAGCAUACUGCCGUGAAUACGUUCCCGGGCCUUGUACACACCGCCCGUCACACCAUGAGAGUUGGGGAUACCCGAAGCCUGUGAGCCAACAUAUCUAUGAGGCAGCAGUCGAAGGUAGAAUCAAUGAUUGGGGUG